UCCUCUGUUCUUGAAGCCAGUAAUCUCCAUCCCACACCUGUGACCUAAGCUGGUGCUUCUCUUUCUUCCUGAGCUGAUGACUCUGGUGUGUGCUUAAUAAUUCAGCGGGGCCCCAGCUCAUCUUUCCACAGAACCAGUGUCUCCAUGGGAGCAGGAAAACCAACAAGCCUGCAUCAUUGCAUAGAGUUCUAGUGAGCACGGGGAGAAUGCAUCAUCUCUCACCCUCCACUUCUGGAGAUGUAGGGAAGCAGAAAGGAAUAUCCAGCUCAUAUGAUCCCCAGCUUCACCUGAGAAGUACUACCACCUUCCCAUCAGCACAGGCUGAGAAGCCUCUACAUUCUUCAGCCAGGUAGAACAGAGAGGUCUCAGCAAUAAAGAGGUCAAGUGAGCUGGCCUGCCCACCUGCCCUUCCUCUGGCCUCCGUUACUGGCAGCCAAGUGAAGCAUAAAGGCUAAUGUCUCAUCAGCA